UUCCAGACUCCUACGGGAGGCAGCAGUGGGGAAUAUUGGGCAAUGGGCGCAAGCCUGACCCAGCAACGCCGCGUGAAGGAAGAAGGCUUUCGGGUUGUAAACUUCUUUUAAGAGGGAAGAGUAGAAGACGGUACCUCUUGAAUAAGCCACGGCUAACUACGUGCCAGCAGCCGCGGUAAUACGUAGGUGGCAAGCGUUGUCCGGAUUUACUGGGUGUAAAGGGCGUGUAGCCGGGCCGGCAAGUCAGAUGUGAAAUCCCGAGGCUCAACCUGGGAACUGCAUUUGAAACUGUUGGUCUUGAGUAUCGGAGAGGCAGGCGGAAUUCCUAGUGUAGCGGUGAAGUGCGUAGAUAUUAGGAGGAACACCAGUGGCGAAGGCGGCCUGCUGGACGAAAACUGACGGUGAGGCGCGAAAGCGUGGGGAGCAAACAGGAUUAGAUACCCGAGUA
rnacentral:rRNA from 1 species